GACGAACGCUGGCGGCGUGCCUAAUACAUGCAAGUCGAACGCAGUUGGGAAGGGUGAGUAACACGUGGGUAACCUCCAAUCAGAGGGGAUAACACUUGGAAACAGGUGCUAAACCGAUACUGUUGUAUGGAUCAGCGGUGGAUUAGCUAGUUGGUGAGGUAACGGCUCACAAAGGCCAAGCUGCAUAGCCUGCCUGAUAGGGUGAUCGGCCACACUGGGACUGAUACACGGCCCAGACUCCUACGGGAGGCAGCAGUAGGGAAUCUUCGGCAAUGGACGAAAGUCUGACCGAGCAACGCCGCGUGAGUGAAGAAGGUUUUCGGUUCGUAAAACUCUGUUGUUAGAGAAGCGGUAUCUAACCAGAAAGCCACGGCUAACUACGUGCCAGCAGCCGCGGUAAUAC
rnacentral:rRNA from 1 species